rnacentral:lncRNA from 1 species
GCCCGUGCAUUGAUCUAGCUCGUUAUUUUUUUUUUAUAGGACCGACCAGAUCAAUCACAUUAAAAAGAAAUGUCAGUAUCAUUCACGUGUGCCUGGGUCAUAUUUUGCGUUUAUGCAUUAUAAUAUGACGAGUUGACAAAUUUCGCAAUAGAUAUUUCAACACCAUGGACCAUCGGUCAUGUGUGUGUGCGUACACACUCAAUUAUGUG